AGAGUUUGAUCAUGGCUCAGAUUGAACGCUGGCGGCAUGCCUUACACAUGCAAGUCGAACGGCAGCACGGGUGCUUGCACCUGGUGGCGAGUGGCGAACGGGUGAGUAAUAUAUCGGAACGUACCCUAGAGUGGGGGAUAACGUAGCGAAAGUUACGCUAAUACCGCAUACGAUCUACGGAUGAAAGUGGGGGAUCGCAAGACCUCAUGCUCAUGGAGCGGCCGAUAUCUGAUUAGCUAGUUGGUGGGGUAAAAGCCUACCAAGGCGACGAUCAGUAGCUGGUCUGAGAGGACGACCAGCCACACUGGAACUGAGACACGGUCCAGACUCCUACGGGAGGCAGCAGUGGGGAAUUUUGGACAAUGGGGGCAACCCUGAUCCAGCAAUGCCGCGUGAGUGAAGAAGGCCUUCGGGUUGUAAAGCUCUUUUGUCAGGGAAGAAACGGGAUUUUCUAAUACAAAGUCCUAAUGACGGUACCUGAAGAAUAAGCACCGGCUAACUACGUGCCAGCAGCCGCGGUAAUACGUAGGGUGCAAGCGUUAAUCGGAAUUACUGGGCGUAAAGCGUGCGCAGGCGGUUGUGCAAGACAGAUGUGAAAUCCCCGGGCUCAACCUGGGAAUUGCAUUUGUGACUGCACGGCUAGAGUGUGUCAGAGGGGGGUAGAAUUCCACGUGUAGCAGUGAAAUGCGUAGAGAUGUGGAGGAAUACCGAUGGCGAAGGCAGCCCCCUGGGAUAACACUGACGCUCAUGCACGAAAGCGUGGGGAGCAAACAGGAUUAGAUACCCUGGUAGUCCACGCCCUAAACGAUGUCUACUAGUUGUCGGGUCUUAAUUGACUUGGUAACGCAGCUAACGCGUGAAGUAGACCGCCUGGGGAGUACGGUCGCAAGAUUAAAACUCAAAGGAAUUGACGGGGACCCGCACAAGCGGUGGAUGAUGUGGAUUAAUUCGAUGCAACGCGAAAAACCUUACCUACCCUUGACAUGUACGGAACUUACCAGAGAUGGUUUGGUGCUCGAAAGAGAACCGUAACACAGGUGCUGCAUGGCUGUCGUCAGCUCGUGUCGUGAGAUGUUGGGUUAAGUCCCGCAACGAGCGCAACCCUUGUCAUUAGUUGCUACGAAAGGGCACUCUAAUGAGACUGCCGGUGACAAACCGGAGGAAGGUGGGGAUGACGUCAAGUCCUCAUGGCCCUUAUGGGUAGGGCUUCACACGUCAUACAAUGGUACAUACAGAGGGCCGCCAACCCGCGAGGGGGAGCUAAUCCCAGAAAGUGUAUCGUAGUCCGGAUUGUAGUCUGCAACUCGACUACAUGAAGUUGGAAUCGCUAGUAAUCGCGGAUCAGCAUGUCGCGGUGAAUACGUUCCCGGGUCUUGUACACACCGCCCGUCACACCAUGGGAGCGGGUUUCACCAGAAGUAGGUAGCCUAACCGCAAGGAGGGCGCUUACCACGGUGGGAUUCGUGACUGGGGUGAAGUCGUAACAAGGUA
rnacentral:rRNA from 1 species